GUGGGGAAUAUUGGGCAAUGGGGGAAACCCUGACCCAGCAACGCCGCGUGAAGGAAGACGGUUUUCGGAUUGUAAACUUCUUUUAUCGGGGACGAAAAAAAUGACGGUACCCGAAGAAAAAGCCACGGCUAACUACGUGCCAGCAGCCGCGGUAAUACGUAGGUGGCAAGCGUUAUCCGGAUUUACUGGGUGUAAAGGGCGUGUAGGCGGGACUGCAAGUCAGAUGUGAAAUACCAAGGCUUAACCUUGGGGCUGCAUUUGAAACUGUAGUUCUUGAGUGAUGGAGAGGCAGGCGGAAUUCCUAGUGUAGCGGUGAAAUGCGUAGAUAUUAGGAGGAACACCAGUGGCGAAGGCGGCCUGCUGGACAUUAACUGACGCUGAGGCGCGAAAGCGUGGGGAGCAAACAGGAUUAGAUACCCGUGUAGUCC
rnacentral:rRNA from 1 species